rfam:Syntrophaceticus schinkii strain Sp3 genome assembly, contig: SSCH_Contig_58
UCUGGUGGUUAGAGCGGAGGGGCAACACCCGUUCCCAUUCCGAACACGGCAGUUAAGCCCUCCAGCGCUGAUGGUACUGGGACAUCCCGGGAGAGUAGGUCGCUGCCAGAA